GGGCUUGUCGUCUAAAGGAAUUAAGGACUGAAACCUUCUAAGUUUCCAAUGCAGGUUCGAUUCCUGCCAGGCUCA
rnacentral:tRNA from 1 species